CACUUCCGCUCUGAAGCCUUUUUGGAGGGACGUGGGAUAAUAACAGAGGGUAUGGGAACCAUCAAGGCCAACUUGAAUUCGGGAAAUUUGAAAGCUGCCAGAGAGACACUCGGAAGAAUCCUUCACACUCUACAGGAUUUCUAAAGUCACAGUAACUGGGUAGAACUGGGCAACACAGAGCCAUACAUCAAUCUAAUCCGCCCCUACCUUCCCUUGGAAAACCUUGCAGAUGUAAACACCCCCACAUGUCUUGACUGUGCCAGUGGAACAUGUUCAAACUCAAUCCUUCCCAACGUCCGAAAAGAAAAGAAACUCA